rnacentral:rRNA from 1 species
UACGUAGGGUGCAAGCGUUGUCCGGAAUUAUUGGGCGUAAAGGGCUCGUAGGCGGUCCAUCGCGUCGGGAGUGAAAAGCUGGGGCUUAACCCCAGUCCUGCUUCCGAUACGGGUGGACUAGAGGUAGGUAGGGGAGAACGGAAUUCCUGGUGUAGCGGUGAAAUGCGCAGAUAUCAGGAGGAACACCGGUGGCGAAGGCGGUUCUCUGGGCCUUACCUGACGCUGAGGCGCGAAAGCGUGGGGAGCGAACAGG